rnacentral:rRNA from 1 species
AAAGAUUAAGCCAUGCAUGUCUAAGUAUAAACGAUCUAAUCGUGAAACCGCGAAUGGCUCAUUAUAACAGCUAAAAUCUACUUGAUCUUGACACAAUCCUACUUGGAUAACUGUGGUAAUUCUAGAGCUAAUACAUGCAUUAAAGCUCUGACCUCACGGGAAGAGUGCACUUAUUAGAACAAAACCAAGCGGCUUCGGCUGUUUCUGGUUGACUCAUAGUAACUGAGCUGAUCGCACGGUCUUGCACCGGCGACGUGUCUUUCGAGUAUCUGCCGUAUCAACUUUCGAUGGUAGUGUAUCUGACUACCAUGGUGAUCACGCGUAACGGAGAAUAAGGGUUCGGCUCCGGAGAGUUCGCCUGAGAAAUCGCGAACACAUCUAAGGAAGGCAGCAGGCGCGAAAAUUACCCACUCUCAGCACGAGGAGGUAGUGACGAAAAAUAACGAGACCGUUCUCUUAUGAGGCCGGUCAUCGGAAUGGGUACAAUUUAAACCCUUUAACGAGUAUCUAUGAGAGGGCAAGUCUGGUGCCAGCAGCCGCGGUAAUUCCAGCUCUCAAAGUGCAUAGAAUUAUUGCUGCGGUUAAAAAGCUCGUAGUUGGAUCUGUGCCAUAGGACGUGGUCCACCUUCUGGGUGCGUACUAUGUUCCUAGGCUUUUUGCUGGUUUUCCCGUCGUAGCCUUAACUGGUUGCGGCGGGUGGCUGGCGAGUUUACUUUGAGAAAAUCAGAGUGCUCAACACAGGCGUAUCGCUUGAAUGAUUGUGCAUGGAAUAAUAGAAAAGGAUUUCGGUCCUCUUUUAUUGGUUUUGUGGACUGAGAUAAUGGUUAACAGGGACCAACGGGGGCAUUCGUAUCGCUGCGUGAGAGGUGAAAUUCUUGGACCGUAGCGAGUCGCCCUACUGCGAAAGCAUUUGCCAAGAAUG